ensembl:snoRNA
UCUCAGUGAUGAAAACUUUGUCCAGCUAUGCUACUAACUUUAUGUGAUCAUGAACUAUAUCAAAGGGGA